AAUACAUAGGGCUGGGCAGGAGCAGGUCUUUCUCCUCUGCUCAGAAUGCGAACUACAAAAAGGCUCAACAGACCUUUUUGAUGAAAAGAGUUAUCUACUCUGCUACUGAGACUUCAUCUAUUGUUUCCAUGAUACCAGGAGGGUUUCCACAGCAGCGUUCCAGUAAGAAGACUACAACUCCUAGCAUGCGCUGCAGACAAAAAUGGCCUCACAAAAGCCCGGUACUGGAAGACUACACCUCCUACCAUGCACAGCAUAUGAAAAUAGGCUUCCGGAAACCCGGUGCCAGGAGACUACAGUUCCUGGCAUGUGCGGCAGGAUAAAAUGACUUCCUGGAAAGCCUGUACCGGAAGACUACAUCUACCAGCAUGCAGCGGAAAACAAUAUGGCCGACAGGAAGAUUAGAGCUCCCGGCAUCCGCAGCAGCCUAAAAUGGCCGAAUGGUCAGAUACUGGUGGACUAGUGCUCCCGGCAUAGAGCGAAAAAAAAAAAAAAUCCGGAACCUGG